UACGUAGGGGGCAAGCGUUGUCCGGAAUCAUUGGGCGUAAAGAGCGCGUAGGCGGCCCGGUAAGUCCGCUGUAAAAGUCAAAGGCUCAACCUUUGAAAGUCAGUGGAUACUGCCGGGCUAGAGUCCGGAAGAGGCGAGUGGAACUCCUGGUGUAGCGGUGGAAUGCGCAGAUAUCAGGAAGAACACCAACGGCGAAGGCAGCUCGCUAGGACGGAACUGACGCUGAGGCGCGAAAGUGUGGGGAGCAAACAGG
rnacentral:rRNA from 1 species